rnacentral:tRNA from 2 species
GGGCCUAUAGUACAGUGGCAGUACGCCGCAUUCGCAUUGCGGAGGCGAGAGUUCGAUUCUCUCUAGGUCCA